UACGUAGGGUGCAAGCGUUGUCCGGAAUUAUUGGGCGUAAAGAGCUCGUAGGCGGUCUGUUGCGUCGGCUGUGAAAACCCGGGGCUCAACCCCGGGCCUGCAGCCGAUACGGGCAGACUAGAGUUCGGCAGGGGAGACUGGAAUUCCUGGUGUAGCGGUGAAAUGCGCAGAUAUCAGGAGGAACACCGGUGGCGAAGGCGGGUCUCUGGGCCGAUACUGACGCUGAGAGACGAAAGCCAGGGGAGCAAACGGG
rnacentral:rRNA from 1 species